GACGAACGCUGGCGGCGUGCCUAAUACAUGCAAGUCGAACGCAGUGGGGACGGGUGAGUAACACGUGGGUAACCUCCCCAUCUGAGGGGGUAACACUUAGAAACAGGUGCUAAUCCGAUAUUGCUGGAUGGACCCGCGGUGCAUUAGCUAGUUGGUGAGGUAACGGCGCACCAAGGCCACGAUGCAUAGCUGACCGGAGAGGGUGAUCAGCCACACUGGGACUGAGACACGGCCCAGACUCCUACGGGAGGCAGCAGUAGGGAAUCUUCGGCAAUGGACGAAAGUCGGACCGAGCAAUGCCGCGUGAGUGAAGAAGGUUUUCGGAUCGUAAAACUCUGUUGUUAGAGAAGCGGGAUCGAACCAGAAAGCCACGGCUAACUCCGUGCCAGCCGCCGCGGUAAUAC
rnacentral:rRNA from 1 species